rnacentral:lncRNA from 1 species
GAAUUUAAAUGCAUUUUUAGUUUGAUUUUUAAUUGAUUAAUUGUGUAAAAAUUAUGUCGAACCAUUUUUAUUGACUUGCGAUGUUUGACUAUGUGUUUGGGCCUUGGUCAAAGUUGAUUUGACUUUUGUUGGAUUGAAAUCAUUGGAUUUAGGGGAUUGAUGAAAUAUACAUUUCAUCUCCCAAAAUCCCUUUCCAAGUGAGAUCACACCCCUGUUUUUCAACUCCGACCAAAGAGCUAAAAUUGUUUAAC